AGAGUUUGAUCCUGGCUCAGAUUGAACGCUGGCGGCACGCCUAACACAUGCAAGUCGAGCGGUAGCAUGGUUGGUAGCAAUACCGACUGAUGACGAGCGGCGGACGGGUGAGGAACACGUAGGAAUCUAUCCUUGAGCGGGGGACAACCAAGGGAAACUUUGGCUAAUACCGCAUAAUCUCGAGAGAGUAAAGUUGCCGUAAGGUGACACUCGAGGAGGAGCCUGCGUCCGAUUAGCUAGUUGGUAGGGUAAAAGCCUACCAAGGCGAUGAUCGGUAACUGGUCUGAGAGGACGACCAGUCACACUGGGACUGAGACACGGCCCAGACUCCUACGGGAGGCAGCAGUGGGGAAUAUUGGACAAUGGGGGCAACCCUGAUCCAGCGAUGCCGCGUGAGUGAAGAAGGCCUUCGGGUCGUAAAGCUCUUUAGGUUGGGAAGAAGGUUAUGUGGGGAUAAUCCAUAUAGCUUGACGGUACCGACAGAAUAAGCACCGGCAAACUCUGUGCCGGCAGCCGCGGUAAUACAGAGGGUGCGAGCGUUAAUCGGAAUUACUGGGCGUAAAGGGCGCGUAGGCGGUUAGGUAAGUGUGAUGUGAAAGCCCCGGGCUUAACCUGGGAAGUGCAUCGCAAACUGUCUAGCUAGAGUAGAUGAGAGGGUGGCGGAAUUUCCGGUGUAGCGGUGAAAUGCGUAGAGAUCGGAAGGAACGUCAAUGGCGAAGGCAGCCACCUGGCAUCAUACUGACGCUGAGGCGCGAAAGCGUGGGGGAGCGAACAGGAUUAGAUACCCUGGUAGUCCACGCUGUAAACGAUGAGGACUAAAGGUUGGUAGGGGAACCUAUCAGUCUUGAAGCUAACGCGAUAAGUCUUCCGCCU
rnacentral:rRNA from 1 species